UGGGGAAUAUUGGGCAAUGGGCGAAAGCCUGACCCAGCAACGCCGCGUGAGUGAAGAAGGCUUUCGGGUUGUAAAGCUCUGUUGUUGAGGACGAAGGAAGUGACGGUACUCAACAAGGAAGCCCCGGCUAACUACGUGCCAGCAGCCGCGGUAAUACGUAGGGAGCGAGCGCUGUCCGGAUUUACUGGGUGUAAAGGGUGCGUAGGCGGGAUAGCAAGUCAGAUGUGAAAUCCCGGGGCUUAACCCCGGAACUGCAUUUGAAACUGUUAUUCUUGAGUGAUGGAGAGGCAAGUGGAAUUCCUAGUGUAGCGGUGAAAUGCGUAGAUAUUAGGAGGAACACCAGUGGCGAAGGCGGCUUGCUGGGCUUUUACUGACGCUGAGGCUCGAAAGCGUGGGGAGC
rnacentral:rRNA from 1 species